AUGGGGCGAUCGAAGCCGGUCAUGGAAGAGUUGGAUCCGGCGGAAUUAAUCCAUCUCAAGGAGGAGGUGCUGGCAAAUCGUGAGGAGACCACGGGCUUGCGUGAGGAAGUGGAUCUGUUACGGAAAGAGGUUCAAUCCACCAACUCCAAACAGGAUUCGAUGUGCAAGGUAAUUACUGACGUCCAAACUGCAAUAUCAGCAUUAAGUGGUCAGUUAUCUGCAAUUACGGAUGUGCUCAAAUCUCUGAACACGAAUGGAGCUUCCACAUCUGCUAAUCAGCGUCCUCUUCCAAAUACCCAAGAGCAGCAACGGGAGAAAUCCCCUGAGGUUGAAAUUGCCAAGGAAUCUGCAGAGGAAAAUAGACCUUUUACAGAAGAAUUACGCAAGCGCUUUGCUCUUGAACAGGAGAAAACCCGGCAGUAUGCAGAGUUACUAAAUUCUGAUAUUCCUCCUAUUAACACUGGUCGUCGUCCAACUCCACCAGGAUUAACGACUGUUGGUAAUCAUGGGUUACAGUCAGGUCAGGUCUCUCCCGGCCAAGUGGCUCGAACUGCUCGAACUCCUGCUUUCACUCAGAUGCAGCAGCAAUCUAAUCGCCUCCAGUGGGAUGAUUACCCAAAAGCAUAUGAGAAAGAUAUGAGAGCUCAAUUUCUUAAAUCCAUGACCAAGGGACCAAAGAUGGAAUUCCCACGGUUUGAUGGUACAAAUCCUGGGGGUUGGAUUCGGCAAGCGGAGAAGUAUUUUCAAAUGGCUGGGGCACCAUCAGAAUACAAGGUUUCUUUGGCUCAGAUGUAUUUUGUGGGCAGGGCAGAUGUGUGGCUCAGAAGGGCAGGAAUUCUCAAGAAACAGUAUAAUUGGGCACAGUUCUGUGAAGAGAUUUUGCACAGAUUCUCUGCCUCCAGCACAUAUGAUUUAGUGGACAGAUUUAAUGCUUUCAAGCAAAAUAAUUUGUCCAUUGCCGAGUAUACUGACCAGUUUGAGGAAUUAAUGGCGGAAGUUCAAGAAGACAACCCAAAUCUGACUGAGAUGUGGUUUGUAAAGUGUUAUGUUAACGGGAUGAGGGCUACUAUUAAGUUCCAGCUCCGGCCACUUAGGCCACAAACACUGACAGAUGCUUAUUGGCUUGCAGUGGAUAUUGAGCAAGCAACCCCUGCAAGAAAGCCUUAUCCUGCUCUCACUGCAGACAAAAGCAAGUUCUCAUUUCAGAAUUACAAGUCUCCGGGCAUGACUGUCGACAAGAACACUGAUGGUAAGGGUCCUCCUGUGAAUCAGAGAGCAAGAGAACCAGGAAAGUGUUGGAGGUGUGGGGAUGUCUGGUUCCAUGGGCACAAGUGCAAACAAGCACCCGUUAUUAAUUUGCUUACGGGUGAGGAACCAACUGACUCUUCUACCGAACAAGAGGAAAUAACCGAAACUGAACAAGCAGAGCAGCAGCCUGUAGAUGAGAAUUGCAUGCACAUUUCUUUGCAAGCCAUGAGUACUAGUAGAGUAAGUACAUUAUCGGUGCUGGUGAACAUUGGGGGUAAGCAGGCAGUGGCUUUAGUGGAUUCAGGCAGUAAUUCCACUUUCAUGAACCUCAAGUUUGCUUUAACAACAAGCUGUUCUAUAGUCAGGGAUACGUCCAGAGCAGUAGCUGUUGCGGGUGGUGGUGUACUGUGGUCAGGGGCUUACAUUCCUGCAACCAAAUUUCAAAUGGGCAAGGAACAAUUUGAGCAUCCUUUUAGAGUGUUGAAUCUUCCUGGAUAUGAUAUAGUAAUUGGCUGUGAUCUUCUAGCUCAGCAUAGCCCAGUAUCUUUUGACUAUGAGAACAAGCAGGUCAUAUUGACAAAGGACAAGCUUCAGCAAGUCACUAUCCCAGCCUGCAAUUCAUUCGCUGCAGCAACUGAAAUUCCCAGUACAGAGUUAGCUUCUAUGUUGGGAGCUGGUACUAGUGGUUAUGCACUUUUUCUAAUCAGAGAUGUUUCAAUGAAAAAGCCUCCUCAGCAUGUAACACCUCCUGAAGUGGAGCAGGUUUUGCAGCAAUAUCUUGAAGUCUUUGCAGAACCACAGGGACUACCACCUGAAAGGAGUUGUGAUCAUAAAAUCCCACUGAAACCUGGGUCUGCCCCACCUAAUAUUAGGCAAUAUAGAAUUCCUCAUAAGCACAGGGAUGAAGUGGAAAAGCAAGUACAACAAUUGUUGAAAUCUAAGGUUAUUAGACCUAGUCAGAGUCCCUAUGCUUCUCCAGUGAUAGUAGUUCCUAAGAAAGAUGCCACAUGGAGGUUAUGCACUGAUUUCAGGGACUUAAAUUCUAUCACUGUCAAGGACAAGUUUCCUAUUCCUGUAAUUGAAGACCUGCUUGAUGAGCUGCAUGGAGCAAAGUUUUUCACUAAAUUUGAUUUGCGGUCAGGAUAUCAUCAGAUCAGGAUGAAUAAGGAGGAUAUACCAAAGACUGCAUUCAGAACUCAUUUUGGUCAUUUUGAAUAUCUAGUGAUGCCCUUUGGUCUCUCUAAUGCUCCCAGCACCUUUCAAGCUUUAAUGAAUGCAAUAUUUGGCAAGUACUUGAGAAAAUUCAUAUUGGUGUUCUUUGAUGAUAUAUUGAUCUUUAGUCAUACUCUGGAGGAACACUUGGAACAUUUGAAAGUGGUGCUUGAUCUUCUUAAAGAACAUCAAUUGAGAGUAAAUUUGUCCAAGUGCUUAUUUGCUGUUCAGCAAGUGGAUUAUCUGGGGCACAUCAUUAAUGAACAUGGGGUGUCUACAGAUCCGGAAAAAGUUAGUGCGGUUAAGGAUUGGCCCACUCCUACCACAGCAACUCAACUAAGAGGAUUUCUAGGUUUAUGCGGGUACUACAGAAGAUUUGUUCAACACUUUGGAUUAAUUGCAAGGCCUCUGCAUGAUAUGUUGAAGCAAGCUAAUUUCCAUUGGACUACAUCACAAGAUGUAGCUUUCCAACAAUUAAAGCAAGCCAUGACUUCGGCUCCUGUUCUGGCUUUGCCCAAUUUCAAUGCUCCUUUUGUGUUAGAAACAGAUGCUUCAGGGCAAGGGAUUGGAGCUGUGUUAAUGCAGCAGGGAAAACCUAUAGCUUAUUACAGCUCAGUGCUUUGUCCCAAGAAUUGCUUGUUAUCCACUUAUGAGAAGGAAGCAUUGGCUAUGAUUGAAGCUUUAAAAAAAUGGAGGCAUUAUUUAGUGGGGCAUCAGCUGAUCAUUAAAACUGAUCACCAAAGUCUGAAAUUCAUGACAGAUCAAAAAGUAACUGGGAAAAUACAACAGAAGCUGAUGUUAAAAUUAUUGGAGUUUGAUUUCCAAAUUCAGUAUAAAAAAGGGAAGGAGAAUGUGGCAGCAGAUGCAUUAUCUCGGAAAUGUCAGCUUAUGGCUAUAUCUCUUGUCACUCCUAAAUGGACAGAUGAUAUAGAACAUUCCUAUGAAAACGAUCCUGCUUGCAAGAAAAUAUUGGAAGAAUUGCUGGUUUUGCCCGGUCAUGAGCUUAAUAAUAAUUCUCUGCAAGGGGGCAUCAUCAGACACAAAGGCAGAAUUUAUGUGGGCAAUGAUAAGGCAUUAAAACAGAGAUUAUUAACUGCCUUGCACUCUUCUGCUUUAGGGGGUCACAGUGGAAUGAAAGCAACAUAUCAGAGGGUUAAAAACAUAUUUUAUUGGCCUGGAAUGAAAAAAGAAAUAGAAGAUUUCGUGGCAAUUUGCCCUGUGUGUCAGAAAAACAAAGGGGAACACUGUCACUACCCUGGGUUGUUGGAUCCCUUGCACAUACCUGACAUGGCAUGGACACAUUUGAGUAUGGAUUUUGUGGAGGGACUCCCUAAAUCCAAUGGCAAAGAAAUUAUUUUUGUCAUAGUUGAUAGGCUGACUAAAUUUGCUCAUUUCAUUGCCAUGUCUCACCCUUACACAGUCCAGUCGGUGGCUACUGCAUUUAUAGAUAAUGUGAUCAGAUUGCAUGGACCUCCUAUAGCCAUUGUGUCAGACAGAGAUAAAAUUUUUACAAGUCACUUGUGGAAGGAAAUCUUUGCUGCAAUGAAAAUAGAACUCAGAUACAGUUCUGCUUAUCAUCCUCAGUCUGAUGGACAGACAGAACGUGUAAAUCAAUGCAUUGAAAAUUAUUUAAGAUGCAUGGCAUCGGCAGAGCCAAAAAAGUGGGUAUAUCAUCUUCCAAUGGCUGAGUACUGGUACAAUACUUCCUUCCAUUCUUCUCUGCAGAAAACUCCUUUUCAAGCAUUAUAUGGGUAUGAUCCUCCCAAUAUCAGUGAGUUCUCUUUACCUGGAUCUCUAGAAGUUGGCCCUGCUGGCCCUACAGUGGAUAGGCAAGCUCUCAUGGGACAGCUCAGACAGAAUUUGCAAGCAGCUCAGGCUCGAAUGGUCAAGUUUGCAGAUAAGAAGAGAACUGAACGAGUACUAGCUCCUGGAGAUAUGGUUUAUCUGAAACUGCAACCCUACAGGCUCAAUGCUUUCGGUAUCCGACACCAUAUCAAGCUGCAAAGCAAGUAUUAUGGACCCUUUCGAGUGUUGAGCAAAGUUGGUAAUGUGGCUUAUAAGCUGUUCUUGCCAGCAGAUUCCCAAAUCCAUCCGGUAUUCCACAUUAGUCAACUUAAAAAGCAUAUUGGCCCAACAGCAGUUCCUUGCACGGAUCUACCCUUAAUUGGACCAAAUGGACAGAUAAGGACUGAACCAGUACUUGUCUUGGAAAUUCGUCAAAUACCACGGAACAAUGUUGCGGUGGUGCAGUGGCUCGUUCAGUGGGAGAACUUACCACCUGAAGAUGCUUCCUGGGAAGAUGCUGAUUUUAUCAAACACACAUUUCCGGGAUUCUUCAAGCAAACGGUGGAGAGCUGGCGGAAGCACGGCCCACCUUGA
rnacentral:rRNA from 1 species